CAUGUAGGCGGUUUUUUUAAGUCCGGAGUGAAAAUGCGGGGCUCAACCCCGUAUGGCUCUGGAUACUGGAAGACUUGAGUGCAGGAGAGGAAAGGGGAAUUCCCAGUGUAGCGGUGAAAUGCGUAGAUAUUGGGAGGAACACCAGUGGCGAAGGCGCCUUUCUGGACUGUGUCUGACGCUGAGAUGCGAAAGCCAGGGUAGCGAACG
rnacentral:rRNA from 1 species